GAAAUUCUCUCUCUCCUUCACUCCAAACUUUCGACCACCACCUCUCUCUCCUCUCUCUCACAUUUCCACCAUUGACAACCAUUAACGAGACCUUGGGAGCUUCACAAAUUCAUACCAAAACUCAAAUCACCCUCUAAAUCUUACACUAAACACUUCCACCUCCUUGAAUCCAAGAAGAUCUUUGGAGUUUGAUCUUCAAAGUUAGAAAGAGAAAGUUUGGUUUUGGGUGUAAGUUUGGGCCCGAGCGAGACAAAGAAGUAAGUUGCCUGAUUUCUUUCCAGGAUUAGCAAAGGACUUCAGGCUAAGCGAGGAGCGAGAUUGGUCUGGUGCUGGUGGGGAAAUUGUUGAAGGAUGUAUUUACUUUAUCGUAUUUCCAUUUUGACGAUAAAGUCUUGAUGAUUGAUAUACUUUGAUUUUCUUUUGAAUUUAAGCAAUGUACUCACGGUUAUAUGUCUUCAUACAUAUAAUCGGUUCGCCUUUUGCUGCGAUACUCUGCAUAUUAUGAUUCCUU